GAUGAAGAACGUAGCGAAAUGCGAUAAGUAAUGUGAAUUGCAGAAUUCAGUGAAUCAUCGAAUCUUUGAACGCACAUUGCGCCCGCCAGUAUUCUGGCGGGCAUGCCUGUUCGAGCGUCAUUACAACCCUCAGGCCCCCGGGCCUGGCGUUGGGGAUCGGCGGAGCCCCCCGUGGGCACACGCCGUCCCCCAAAUGCAGUGGCGGUCCCGCCGCAGCUUCCAUCGCGUAGUAGCUAACACCUCGCGACUGGAGAGCGGCGCGGCCACGCCGUAAAACACCCAACUCUUCUGAAGUUGACCUCGAAUCAGGUAGGAAUACCCGCUGAACUUAAGCAUAUCAAUAAGCGGAGAA
rnacentral:misc_RNA from 1 species